UUUCCGUAGGUGAACCUGCGGAAGGAUCAUUACUGAGUGAGGGCCCCUCGGGGUCCAACCUCCCACCCGUGUUUAACGAACCUUGUUGCUUCGGCGGGCCCGCCUCACGGCCGCCGGGGGGCAUCUGCCCCCGGGCCCGCGCCCGCCGAAGCCACCUGUGAACGCUGUCUGAAGUAUGCAGUCAGAGACAAUUAUUAAAUUAAUUAAAACUUUCAACAACGGAUCUCUUGGUUCCG
rnacentral:misc_RNA from 1 species